GGCCUACGGGGCGCAGCAGUGAGGAAUAUUGGUCAAUGGGCGGAAGCCUGAACCAGCCAAGUCGCGUGAGGGAAUAAGGCCCUACGGGUCGUAAACCUCUUUUGCCGGGGAGCAAGGGCGGGGACGUGUCCCGGCCCGGAGAGUACCCGGAGAAAAAGCAUCGGCUAACUCCGUGCCAGCAGCCGCGGUAAUACGGAGGAUGCGAGCGUUAUCCGGAUUUAUUGGGUUUAAAGGGUGCGUAGGCGGGCUUUUAAGGCAGCGGGAAAAAUUCGGGGCUCAACCCCGGCCGGUCGUUGAAACUGGGG
rnacentral:rRNA from 1 species